rnacentral:rRNA from 1 species
GAUGAACGCUGGCGGCGUGCCUAAUACAUGCAAGUCGAGCGAACAGACGCGGAGCUUGCUCCUCUGACGUUAGCGGAGGACGGGUGAGUAACACGUGGAUAACCUACCUAUAAGACUGGGAUCACUUCGGGAAACCGGAGCUAAUACCGGAUAAUAUAUUGAUCCGCAUGGUUGGAUAGAGAAAUACGGUUUUGCUGUCACUUAUAGAUGGAUCUGCGCCGCAUUAGCUAGUUGGUGAGUUAACGGCUUACGAAGGCAACGAUGCGUUGGCGACCGCAUAGGGGGGUCGGCCACACGGGAAGUGGGACACGGACAUGGCGCCUACGGGAGGCAGCAGUAUGCAAUCGUCCGCAACAGGCGAAAGUCUGACGGAGCGAGGCGGCGUCAGUUGUAACGGUCCUCCGAGCGUAAAACUCGCUUAUUAGGUAUGAACAAAUUUGUAAGGAGCUAUGCACGGCUUGACGGUACCUGGUCAGAAAGCCCCGGCUAACUACGUG